ACUAUUCUUUACAUGGAGUUGCACUACUGUCCAAUGAGCACAUAGUGAGGGCAAUACUGCGAAUGCCUAUACCACAUGCCCACAUCAACUAGAGUUUUGCUUUACUUUGGUGCAAUUUUUACAAAA
ensembl:snRNA